UGGGGAAUAUUGGACAAUGGGGGAAACCCUGAUCCAGCCAUGCCGCGUGUGUGAAGAAGGCCUUUUGGUUGUAAAGCACUUUAAGCGAGGAGGAGGCUACCCUGAUUAAUACUCAGGAGUAGUGGACGUUACUCGCAGAAUAAGCACCGGCUAACUCUGUGCCAGCAGCCGCGGUAAUACAGAGGGUGCGAGCGUUAAUCGGAAUUACUGGGCGUAAAGCGCGCGUAGGCGGUCUAUUAAGUCGGAUGUGAAAGCCCUGAGCUUAACUUAGGAAUUGCAUUCGAUACUGGUAGACUAGAGUAUGGGAGAGGAAGGUAGAAUUCCAGGUGUAGCGGUGAAAUGCGUAGAUAUCUGGAGGAAUACCGAUGGCGAAGGCAGCCUUCUGGCCUAAUACUGACGCUGAGGUGCGAAAGCAUGGGGAGCAAACA
rnacentral:rRNA from 1 species